GGCCCUACGGGGCGCAGCAGGCGCGAAAACUUUACAAUGCGGGCAACCGUGAUAAGGGAACCCCGAGUGCCUGUACAUGCAGGCUGUUCGGGUGUCUAAAACACACCUGAAGAAAGGGCCGGGCAAGACCGGUGCCAGCCGCCGCGGUAAUACCGGCGGCUCGAGUGGUGGCCACUUUUAUUGGGCUUAAAGCGUUCGUAGCUGGGUUGUUAAGUCUCUUGGGAAAUCUGACGGCUCAACCGUCAGGCGUCUAAGGGAUACUGGCAAUCUUGGAACCGGGAGAGGUGAGGGGUACUUCGGGGGUAGGAGUGAAAUCCUGUAAUCCUUGAAGGACCACCAGUGGCGAAGGCGUCUCACCAGAACGGACCUGACGGCAAGGGACGAAAGCUAGGGGCACGAACCGGAUUAGAUACCCGGGUAGUCCUAGCCGUAAACGAUACUCGCUAGGUGUCGGCCACGGUGCGACCGUUGUCGGUGCCGUAGGGAAGCCGUGAAGCGAGCCACCUGGGAAGUACGGCCGCAAGGCUGAAACUUAAAGGAAUUGGCGGGGGAGCACCACAACGGGUGGAGCUUGCGGUUUAAUUGGAUUCAACGCCGGAAAUCUUGCCG
rnacentral:rRNA from 1 species